rnacentral:lncRNA from 1 species
CCAUUUUUUUCCCAUUUUUUCUGUAUUUUUUGCCAUUUUUUUAAUGUAAAACCGAGAAUAAAUGGAUUUUUUUUCUGUGUGUUUGGGAAAGGUCAAUCCCAGGCCGGGGAGGGCGCGGGGUUUCAAUUAUUGAUUUUUUUUUUUUUUGUUUUUUUUCUCCUCCGCAGGAUUCCUGCCCUGGGUUUGUUCCCCUCCCCCCUUUCCACAGACUUUACAAAAAUCUGAUUAUUUCCCUUUAUUUUGCUUUUUUCACUUAUUUCUUCUCCUUUUUUUAAUCGCUUAUUUCUUUAUUUCUUCCAGUUUUUAUUCUUUCCUUCUCUUGUUUUUCCCCUAUUUUUCCUUUAUUUUUUCCUCUAUUUUUCCUUUAUUUUUUCCCUAAUUUUUCUCUAUUUUUCCUCUUUUUUUCCCCUAUUUUUCCGCUUUUUUCCCAUUUUUUCCUUUAUUCCCCUCUUUUAUUUCUGGAGGAAAAUCAAUCUUUUAAAUCAAACCCAUUUGGGGUUUUAUUUCUUGGGAUUAAAUUUAUUUAUUGUAUUGGGAUUUUAUCUAUUUCUUGGGGUUUAAUUUAUUUAUCGGAUUUUAUGUAUUGGGAUCUUAUUAAUUGGGAUUUUAUUUAUUGGGGUUUAUUCAUUUAUUGGGAUUUUUUUAAUUGGGAUUUUAUUUAUUGGGGUUUUUCACCACGUCCCUUCCUCGCCCUUAGGGUGGAUUUUUCCCUUUUUUUUUUACCUUUUAAUCCCAUUUAUUUUCCCUUUAAACCCCAUUUUUUAACCUUUAAAUCCCAUUUUUACCCUUUAAAUCUCAAUUUUUUAAACCUUUUUAAAAAUUCCUUUGGGGUUUUUGGGGUUUUAUUUGCACAGGAAUGAUUAAAAAUUCCAUUUUUUCCCCAAAAUCUGAGGAUUUCUGUUGGGAUUUGGCACCAAAGCCGCCCCGGCUGCCCCGGGGUUAAGGCGGAACGAAAAUAUUUAUUUAUUUAUUUAUUUAUUUAUUUAUUUAUUUAUUUAUUUAUUUAACAUCAUUUCCCUCCCACGCCCGUUCAAUCCUGGGUGGAAAAAUCCCAAAUUUUGGAAGAUUUGGGAAAAUUCUCUGUGGGGUCAAGAGGUGAAAAUUCCAGGGGGGGUUUUGGGGCUAAAAUUGAAUUUU